rnacentral:rRNA from 1 species
UACGUAGGGGGCUAGCGUUAUCCGGAAUUACUGGGCGUAAAGGGUGCGUAGGUGGUUUCUUAAGUCAGAGGUGAAAGGCUACGGCUCAACCGUAGUAAGCCUUUGAAACUGGGAAACUUGAGUGCAGGAGAGGAGAGUGGAAUUCCUAGUGUAGCGGUGAAAUGCGUAGAUAUUAGGAAGAACACCAGUGGCGAAGGCGGAUUACUGGACGAUAACUGACGGUGAGGCGCGAAAGCGUGGGGAGCAAACAGG